CCUACGGGAGGCAGCAGUGGGGAAUAUUGCACAAUGGGGGAAACCCUGAUGCAGCGACGCCGCGUGAGUGACGAAGUACUUCGUUAUGUAAAGCUCUAUCAGCAGGGAAGAAAAUUACGGUACCUGAGUCAGAAGCUCCGGCUAACUACGUGCCAGCAGCCGCGGUAAUACGUAGGGGGCAAGCGUUAUCCGGAUUUACUGGGUGUAAAGGGAGAGUAGACGGGUGGGCAAGUCAGGAGUGAAAGGCGGGGGCUCAACCCCCAGACUGCUAUGGAAACUGGACGGCUGGAGUGCAGGAGAGGUAAGUGGAAUUCGUGGUGUAGCGGUGAAAUGCGUAGAUAUUAGGAGGAACACCAGUGGCGAAGGCGGCUUACUGGACUGUAACUGACGUUGAGGCUCGAAAGCGUGGGGAGCAAACAGGAUUAGAUACCCCAGUAGUC
rnacentral:rRNA from 1 species